UGAGCAAUCUGCCCUGCUCAUCGGAAUAAGCGUUGGAAACGACGUCUAAUGCCGAAUACGACCUCCUUUCGCAUGAUCGGAGGUGGAAAGCUCCGGCGGAGAAGGAUGAGCUCGCGGCCUAUCAGCUAGUUGGUGUGGGUAAUGGCCCACCAAGGCGACGACGGGUAGCCGGCCUGAGAGGGUGACCGGCCACACUGGGACUGAGACACGGCCAGCUCCGUAGGGAGG
rnacentral:rRNA from 1 species